rnacentral:rRNA from 1 species
AUUGAACGCUGGCGGCAUGCUUUACACAUGCAAGUCGAACGGGCUUGGGGGCUUGCUCCCAAGUUAGUGGCGAACGGGUGAGUAAUACAUCGGAACGUACCGUGUAGUGGGGGAUAACGUAGCGAAAGUUACGCUAAUACCGCAUACGAUCUACGGAUGAAAGCAGGGGACCUUCGGGCCUUGUGCUAUACGAGCGGCCGAUGUCUGAUUAGCUAGUUGGUGAGGUAAAGGCUCACCAAGGCGACGAUCAGUAGCGGGUCUGAGAGGAUGAUCCGCCACACUGGGACUGAGACACGGCCCAGACUCCUACGGGAGGCAGCAGUGGGGAAUUUUGGACAAUGGGCGAAAGCCUGAUCCAGCCAUGCCGCGUGUCUGAAGAAGG